rnacentral:lncRNA from 1 species
GUUCCACAAAUAUGCAUCCACAUCUUUUGCGCUAGCAUUUAAUCUUUUAUGCUUUGCCAUCUUGGCCUCCUACCCUAGUGGCAAGUUUUGCACUUCAUCUCCUACAUCUUUGACGUGAACAUCACUCCUUUGGAUAUACAUGACACUCCUCAAAAUGAGAUGGAACACUUGACAUGCGGAUCCAUAUGUGAGCCUAUUGUCUUUUUUACUUUCUUUCUUCUCUCUCCUUAGUCGAUUCUCCAUACUCUCAGUCUAUUCGCAGAGGGUGGUGGCUGCCUCUUCUCUCCUUGUAUCCGAGCUCGCCCUAAUGUUCCAUAGGGUGCUCACCUAAGCACGCUUAUGUGCUAGUUGAAGGGGCACUGUCCUGUCUAAGGGGGUAGAUGGAAAAUGGGCGGCGUGCCCCAGAUCUAAGGCCGUGUUGCUUGAGAAAGAGAUGACAGGUAGCAGCAGAGGCGAUAAGCGCGUCUGGAGGAGACUAGUGGUAGACUCGGCUAGAAGGAAGGUGCGCCAUGGUGCAACUAGAGGUAGUAGACGGAUGGUGGGAGAAGGACGGGCAGGGAUGAUAGGCAUGAGGUUACAUAGGCGACAAUCAUAACCUAAAUGAGAUAGAGGUAGCAUCGAUAAGUAAGAG